GACGAACGCUGGCGGCGUGCUUAACACAUGCAAGUCGAGCGGAAAGGCCCCUUCGGGGGUACUCGAGCGGCGAACGGGUGAGUAACACGUGAGCAACCUGCCCCUGACACUGGGAUAAGCCUGGGAAACCGGGUCUAAUACCGGAUAUGACCUGCCUCCGCAUGGGGGUGGGUGGAAAGGUUGGCCCGUUUGGGUCUUCCGGUCAGGGAUGGGCUCGCGGCCUAUCAGCUUGUUGGUGGGGUGACGGCCUAUCAAGGCGAUGACGGGUAGCCGGCCUGAGAGGGUGGUCGGCCACACUGGGACUGAGACACGGCCCAGACUCCUACGGGAGGCAGCAGUGGGGAAUAUUGCGCAAUGGGCGGAAGCCUGACGCAGCGACGCCGCGUGAGGGAAGAAGGCCUUCGGGUUGUAAACCUCUUUUACCACUCACGAAGGCCCCUGGUUUUCUGGGGGUUGACGGUAGGUGGUGAAUAAAGACCGGCUAACUACGUG
rnacentral:rRNA from 1 species